UGCCUUCAGUGUUGCCCAUUCAUCUUGACUGCUAGUGAAUGUGGUGUCUGAGAAGGCGCAGAUCAAGCUCCCCCUUGCAGCUUUUUCACAUAUAGGAGUCAUUCCUACUAGGUCUGCUGCCAGUGGGACAGUA